rnacentral:tRNA from 1 species
AGGGAUUUAGCUUAGUGGCUUAAGCACCUGCCUGGUAGGCAGGAGGUUGUGAGUUUGAUUCCUA